rnacentral:rRNA from 1 species
GACGAACGCUGGCGGCGUGCUUAACACAUGCCAGUCGAACGGCAAGGCCCUGCUUUUGUGGGGUGCUCGAGUGGCGAACGGGUGAGUAACACGUGAGUAACCUGCCCUUGACUUUGGGAUAACUUCAGGAAACUGGGGCUAAUACCGGAUAGGAGCUCCUGCUGCAUGGUGGGGGUUGGAAAGUUUCGGCGGUUGGGGAUGGACUCGCGGCUUAUCAGCUUGUUGGUGGGGUAGUGGCUUACCAAGGCUUUGACGGGUAGCCGGCCUGGGAGGGUGACCGGCCACAAUGGGACUGAGAGACGGCGCAGACUCCUACGGGAGGCAGUAGUGGGAAAUAUUGCACAAUGGGCGGAAGCCGGAGGCAGCAACGCCGCGUUCGGGAAGACGGCCUUCGGGUUGUAAACCGCUUUCGCCUGAGACGAAGCGUGAGUGACGGUAAUGGGUAAAGAAGCACCGGCUAACUACGUG